GAUGAAGAACGCAGCGAAAUGCGAUAAGUAAUGUGAAUUGCAGAAUUCAGUGAAUCAUCGAAUCUUUGAACGCACCUUGCACCCUUUGGCAUUCCGAAGGGUAUGCUCGUUUGAGUGUCAUUGUACUCUCACACUUCCGAUCUUUGGAUUGGGAGCGGUGGACUUGGGUGUUGCUGCUUACUGUGGCUCACCUCAAAUCGAUUCGUGCACCUCUUGGUUGGACAUAGUACGGCGUGAUAAGUGUCUUCGCCGGCACCUCAGUAGAGGGUGGCUGAUCGGGAGCUCUGCUUCAAACCGUCCUCGGACAACAACUGACAACUUGACCUCAAAUCGAGUAGGACUACCCGCUGAACUUAAGCAUAUCAUAAGCGGAGGA
rnacentral:misc_RNA from 1 species